UGGAGCAUGUGGUUAAUUCGAAGCAACGCGAAGAACCUUACCAGGUCUUGACAUCCGAUGCUAUUUCUAGAGAUAGAAAGUUACUUCGGUACAUCGGUGACAGGUGGUGCAUGGUUGUCGUCAGCUCGUGUCGUGAGAUGUUGGGUUAAGUCCCGCAACGAGCGCAACCCCUAUUGUUAGUUGCCAUCAUUCAGUUGGGCACUCUAGCGAGACUGCCGGUAAUAAACCGGAGGAAGGUGGGGAUGACGUCAAAUCAUCAUGCCCCUUAUGACCUGGGCUACACACGUGCUACAAUGGUUGGUACAACGAGUUGCGAGUCGGUGACGGCGAGCUAAUCUCUUAAAGCCAAUCUCAGUUCGGAUUGUAGGCUGCAACUCGCCUACAUGAAGUCGGAAUCGCUAGUAAUCGCGGAUCAGCACGCCGCGGUGAAUACGUUCCCGGGCCUU
rnacentral:rRNA from 1 species